rnacentral:misc_RNA from 1 species
GAAACACCCAUCAUCUUCUUCAGUUGGUAUAUGUGCUUAUUGUCUCAAAGAUCGUUUAGUCAAGCUGGUCUGUUCUGAUUGUGGAGAGCAAAGGCUCUCUUCUUGCUCUUGCUCCGAGAUCUCUUCCAAUCGCAAUUCCUGCACUGUUGAGCCCAAAACUAGUGGAGAGAAAGCAGAUGAAAUAAUCUUGCUUAAGAGAAGCAGUAGUAGCUGUGUUGAGAUCAAGAGGAAAGGUGGGUUUUGGCGGAUUGGCAAG